GAGUUCAAUCAACCAGAUGAUGAACAGCUAGAGCUCUUCAGACUCUUCCUCUGAAGUCCAACGCCAAACACACCAGCGUCUGGGGACAACAGUCCAUUUUUAUUAAAGUGCUUAAGCAAUUAACAUGGCGCCCAUAAUGGAGGGCAGGCAUACAGUCCUGUGUCUAUACGAGCCCAUCCGGGAACUGUGCAGUAUCAGCCUUUAUCAACCCAAGGGGAGGGCCCCAGGGUUUAUGUACAAGAGCCACGCCCCUCGGUGGGCCCAGCCCUGUAAUGACCAAGACCAGGGAGAUGUAGAUCCCAUGGCAGCCAAAAGAAGAAGCCAGUCUUCUGAGUCUGCAGGCGAACUCCUCAACUGCUGCCAGGCAACAAAUGAGGCUGUAGCUGAGCUCUGCUGGUUAGCCGCGGAGCACCACCAGUUGCUGGCUGAUCUCCUAUCUCUGUGUGGAGACUGCGCUGACAGAGUCAGGAUGGGUAAUCAGGAUGGGAAGCUCCAGGAUCACAGGGAGGGUUGUGGGAGCUUCUCAGGACAGGUCCUCAGCAGCAAUGCUCAACAUGCUCUCUCUAUGUCUUUGGGGCACGAUAGAACCUCCUCACUGGGCAGGAAGCUGAAGAAGCUGGGGGGAAAGAAGUUAAACAGUGCAGAGGAGUUCCUGCACAGCAAGAUGAAGAAGAAAGUAGGGAUAGGGAGCACUGCAGUAGAGUCUUUAUUUUUUCAGUCCUCGACUCAGACCCGGGAUCAAUCCAACCUCGUCCCAGUGGCAGAGGAGAAAAUGAUUCCUAGUACCCCAGCCUUUCUCCAAUCUUCGGACACUCCAAUGUCAGGCUCCUAUGUCAGUGUGGCCAGCAACCCCAUCCUCAGUAUGGAGGAACACUUCCAUAUCGCUAGAGAGGGCUGGGACUUCAUGGAGGAAGACUCUCGUGCCUCUGAGUCAGACCUGGACUUCUGCAACAACAUGUCUGAGUACGACAGUGAACUCUGCUUGGGCUACGAAGCUUCGUCCUGUAGUUUAUUGGAAGACGUGGAGGAUCAUGUUCAACUAGAGCAUAUGAUGAGUGGGAACAACAUUCGUCCCAUGAGGUCUGAGGACAAGUCAGCCCACCAGCUGUAUGAUGAGGUCAACAGGAGGGACACGGGGGUUAGGGUGGUUGCCAAGGGGCAGGAGAUGGAGGGCACAGUGCAACAUGUUGGCCAUAUUAGCCCAGACUGGUCCAAAGAGUUCUAUCCAGAGACUGAAUCAGAUGUACCUCAGCCGGGGAUGAGCAGCUGUCAGCAAGGGUAUGGGGAGUGGAGGAGUCUAAACAGGGACAUUAAAGAUACGGGAGGGACCAAACCUUCAGAGGGGCUGCAGCUGCAUCUCUCACUUCCUGUUGAGGCCUCCUCUAUCAAAUUCCACAGGAAAAGCCCCUCUUCACCCUCUCUGUGUGGGGUGUUCAACACCUCCUACCCUGCCACCAACAGUCUGCAGAGCAUGUCCCCAGUGCUGUCCCCCCUAUCGCACAAGCUCCCCAGCCCCAAGCUCAACCACCGCAUCCUGCUCCUCUCUGACGUUGACAUUGGCCAGGGGACGGACAGUGACAGCCCCAUGACUGGAUCCGAAGAGAAGCCCAAAGUCACCACAGAGGUCAUAGAUAAGAAUGGCAACAAGCGGACCAUCACACGGCUGGACCUGAACCUCAGCAGACUACCAGGGACUUCCAAAUGGAAUUUAAAUGGCCUAUCUACGGCAACAGACAUACUACGUUACCUACCGGCUGGACAGUCCUAA
ensembl:lncRNA